rnacentral:rRNA from 1 species
CUACGUAGGUGACAAGCGUUAUCCGGAUUUACUGGGCGUAAAGGGCGUGUAGGCGGUCUUGCAAGUCAGAAGUGAAAUUCCUGAGCUCAACUCGGGCGCUGCUUCUGAAACUGCAGGACUUGAGUGCUGGAGGGGAUAGCGGAAUUCCUAGUGGAGCGGUAAAAUGCGCAGAUAUUAGGAAGAACACCGGUGGCGAAGGCGGCUAUCUGGACAGUAACUGACGCUGAGGCGCGAAAGCGUGGGGAGCAAACAGGAUUAGAUACCCUGGUAGUCCGCGCCGUAAACGAUGAAUACUAGGUGUAGGGGGUAUCGACUCCCUCUGUGCCGCAGUUAACACAAUAAGUAUUCCGCCUGGGGAGUACGGCCGCAAGGUUGAAACUCAAAUGAAUUGACGGGG